AAUCCCAGAAGCAUCUCUGAACUUGCAUGGAGAACUUGCGGUUGAUACCUGAUGGGAAGAAAGGGAGGAGAAACACUGACCAGCCAGUUUUCCAGCAUGUCUUUGGAACAGUUUUCUUUGAGGAAUGUUUUUAAUGUCAGACAAAUGGCAAUGACAGGACAAGAUAGUGCUGGAGGCAUGCAAUGGUGCAAAAUGUUGGCAGAAACCAGGAUUAUGGAAGUCCACUUUUGAACAGCUUAGAGCACCACUGGCACACAGGGGCAUCCCAGUUUUUGCUGCUGCUCGUCUGAUUCACCUGGCUACCAAGGCAAAUGUAAUGGAAGAUUUCUUCAGAAUGAUGCUUGCCUCCUGAACGAAAUGCCUCCUCUCAGAAGUCUGUCAGAAAAGCUGGUCUUGGGCACUGGCUGAUGCUGUGCUCACUCCCGGGGGCAGCCAGGAGGGACCUGUCUUCAGCUGGAGCCAUGCCCCUCCUGGGGUGAAACGCAAGUGUGGAGGGGCUGAAUUUAAUGUGUAUUGAUCACAGGGAAGGAGAAAAAUUGUAAAGGAGGAUGUCACUGGUACAAGACAACAUUUGGGCACCUGCUGUUCUCCUGUUUGGUCUGUACCAGCCUGAUUCCAUCUCUACCAGUCUCUUCCUCUUCUUGCCAACCAUGCGGAUCUUUGCAGAGGCUGGGUGAGAAGUGAGGCCGGUGAUGCUUUUGUACACUGGGUACAUCCCCAGGGAUGCAGUUUUCCAAUAUAUUCAUCUGUCACCAGAGCUCCACGUGAAGUCCUCUGCUGUUCCUUCAUCUGACCGGCAGUGCGACAGAAAGGCCUGGAGCUGGUCGGGGCCAACCCCAGGCCUGAGUGCUGGGCGCGUGAGCUAUCCCUGCAAGGCUGGCAGAUUGUCGAUAAAUGCAGUAAACAACAGGCUGCUUUCUUUCAGAACAAGUUAUAUGAAGUCGUCAUCCAUUUGGCGAUACAUAUUUGUAUCUAAGCCCAUCCUUUCAAGCUCCUCUCACUUGACUGAUCAUUUCUUGGUAUCCCAGGAGAA
rnacentral:lncRNA from 1 species